rnacentral:tRNA from 1 species
CAAAAUGUAGCUUAAUUUAAAGCAUCUCGCUUACACCGAGAAAAUACUCGUGAAACCCAAGUCAUUUUGA